GUGCUAGCUUCUGCAGCGCGGAUACUACAACUGGGACAAAACAGAGAUUAGCGUGGCCCCUGGGCAAACAAGACAUGCAAAUUCCUGAAGCCUUCCUUACUUUU